rnacentral:tRNA from 1 species
GCCGGGUUGAUGGAAUCGGUAGACAUGGCGCUCUCAAAAAGCGCUGCUCGAAAGGGCGUGCGGGUUCGAGUCCCGCACCCGGCA